UACGUAGGUGGCAAGCGUUGUCCGGAUUUACUGGGUGUAAAGGGCGUGUAGCCGGGUUGGCAAGUCAGAUGUGAAAUCUAUGGGCUUAACUCAUAAACUGCAUUUGAAACUGCUGAUCUUGAGUAUCGGAGAGGCAAUCGGAAUUCCUAGUGUAGCGGUGAAAUGCGUAGAUAUUAGGAGGAACACCAGUGGCGAAGGCGGAUUGCUGGACGACAACUGACGGUGAGGCGCGAAAGCGUGGGGAGCAAAC
rnacentral:rRNA from 1 species